ACUUGAGCUAAUACYGGAUACGCCCUUASGGGGAAAGAUUUAUUGCCGAAGGAUCGGCCCGCGUCCGAUUAGCUAGUUGGUGAGGUAAUGGCUCACCAAGGCGACGAUCGGUAGCUGGUCUGAGAGGAUGAUCAGCCWCACUGGGACUGAGACACGGCCCAGACUCCUACGGGAGGCAGCAGUGGGGAAUAUUGGACAAUGGGCGCAAGCCUGAUCCAGCCAUGCCGCGUGAGUGAUGAAGGCCCUAGGGUUGUAAAGCUCUUUCGCCRGGGAAGAUAAUGACGGUACCYGCAKAAGAAGCCCCGGCU
rnacentral:rRNA from 1 species